rnacentral:siRNA from 1 species
CCAGUUCCCAAUAGUGUCUUCUGC